CGCGCCCGCACCCAACACAACCCAAUCCCCUCGUCCCGCACGCCGUGCACACUCCGGUCCUCUCAUCCCGCACGAACCCUAGGAGAGAGAGAUAGGAAGAUGAGAGGGAGAGAAAGGGGAGAGGAGAGGAGAGGGAGGUACGGCAGCGGACGGGAGAGGGUGACUGGCCGGCGUCGGCCUGCGCCCCUCCUCGCGCACGAACCCUAGCUGAGAGACAAAAUGAGGGGGAGAGAGAGAAGGAAGGAGAGGAGGGAGAAAGAGAGAGGAAAGAGGAAAGGGAGGUGCGGCGGCUGACAGGAGAGAGGGUCAUCGGCCGGCGCCGGAGAGGACGGGCCCGACCUGGACGCGACCUGGAGGUUGGCGGCGGCUCGAUCCACUCCUGGAUCGGGAGCUGCAACAAGGCUGGGGCUCGGGCGCGUUGUACGGGAGGAUGCACUCCGCCUCUUCCUCAUGGUGCGGCGGACGGCGGCUCUCCCUCUUCUCUGUCGUCGGCGGCCAGCUCAUCCCACUGCCUCGUGCUCGCCGCUGACCAUGGAUCCGCCAUGGACGGAGGGUGUCAAGAGGGGAAGAGGGGAAGGAUGUCUUCGCCUUCACAAGCAGGGCUGGCGGACGAGCACACACGCAUGUCCUCUUCCUGAUGGAAGGCAACUCGAGCAUGGGAGUAGUGGCCAAGGCUGGGCACCAUGGGUUGGCCGAGGUGCUUCAUGGUGAGGAAGAGGUGCGCCAUCUUCCAAUCGGUCCACAGUUUGAAGCAGCCAGGCAGGGAGGACCAAGAAAACAUAGAUCUAUGAAAGAAGAGAUGAAGAACAAUUUUAGCUGAAGAGUUGAAGAAGACCCAGGUCUCUAACCAAUAGCGGCUUACGUUUCCUGGUCAUUUUUCUUUUGGAAAUGAAAGUUGUUGCUUCCUAGGUGAGCUGAGGUGAUAACUCCCUUCCGGCGCUGGGCCUACGUGUUCAAUGCUGCCCUCAGCAUCCCCUUCUUCCAUUGGCUCAUCGGCCCGUCAGAGUUCAGAGAUCUAAUACUCCGCACUGCCUCCCGUCCAUUUUCAAAUAUAUAUAUUUAUAUAAGGUUUAUCAUCACCCCAUGGAUCAUGUGUUGUUGAUUGACCAGGUUAUUGAGGUGGAGGUCAACAGGGUGAGGCAGAGAAGUGGAGUGCUCAUAAAGAAACGAAGGUAUGUAUGAAUAUGAUGGAUGCUUCCAUUGCCAACUAAUGAAAUGCAUGUCUCAUGCUCACGCAGCUGCUGCUUGGACUCGCCGCUGCCGCCGCCUCCAGUCGCUUCCGCCUAGGCAUCCCGUCACUAGCAAGCGGGUCUCUGCCAUUUGGCGCAACGGGUCCAUGAGGAAAAGGCGGUCUAUUUCUAGCUUAUUUGAAAAGCGCCAACAGUGUGUGCCACAUGUAAACAGUCCAUGUUGAAAGAAUAGAAGCAGAAGUGUGGAGAUAAUGUAAUUGGUCAGUCAGGAAAUUCAGUCUCAAUGAGCUCAACUAAUGACAUGUGUGGGUUGAGCGUGAGGUCAUUUCCAAAGUAACGGAAGUAUUUUACUUUCCUUUUCA